AUCAAAAAGUGUCAGGGGCGCCUGGGUGGCGCAGUUGGUUGAGCGUCCGACUUCAGCCAGGUCACGAUCUCAUGGUCCGUGAGUUCGAGCCCCGCGUCAGGCUCUGGGCUGAUGGCUCAGAGCCUGGAGCCUGUUUCCGAUUCUGUGUCUCCCUCUCUCUCUGCCCCUCCCCCGUUCAUGCUCUGUCUCUCUCUGUCCCAAAAAUAAAUAAACGUUGAAAAAAAAAAUUAAAAAAAAAAAAGAAUAAAAAAAGUAAAAUAAAGUGAAAAUGCAGCAUACCAAAAUAUAUAGGAUGUAGUAAAAACAGUACAAAGAAGGACAUUUAUGGUGGUAAACACAUUAAACAAGAAGGAAGAUCUCAAGUCAACAACCUAACUUUACACCUCAAGGAACUAGAAGACUGAACUAAAUCAAAAGUUAGCAGAAAAAAAGGAAAACAAUAAAGAUUAGAAUAGUAAUAAAUAAAUAAAUAAAUAAAUAAAUAAAUAAAUAAAUAGAAAAUAGAAAAUUUCAAAGAAACUAAAAUCGUUUGAAAA